AAAAAAAGAAAAAAAUUAAAUUCCAACUCCAUGAAUUAAGAAUCCUCCACCCCCCUGCCACUGCUGCCACCCUGGAAGAAUUCUCAACCAUCACUGAA